UCCGGNUCUUCCGCGCCGUAGCUAACGCAUUAAGUGCCCCGCCUGGGGAGUACGGCCGCAAGGCUAAAACUCAAAGGAAUUGACGGGGGCCCGCACAAGCGGCGGAGCAUGCGGAUUAAUUCGAUGCAACGCGAAGAACCUUACCAAGGCUUGACAUGUGCCGGUCGGCUCCGGAGACGGGGUUUCCUCCUUGUGGGGCCGGUUCACAGGUGGUGCAUGGUUGUCGUCAGCUCGUGUCGUGAGAUGUUGGGUUAAGUCCCGCAACGAGCGCAACCCUUGUCCCGUGUUGCCAGCACGUUGUGGUGGGGACUCGCGGGAGACUGCCGGGGUCAACUCGGAGGAAGGUGGGGAUGACGUCAAAUCAUCAUGCCCCUUAUGUCUUGGGCUUCACGCAUGCUACAAUGGCCGGUACAGAGGGCUGCGAUACCGUGAGGUGGAGCGAAUCCCUUAAAGCCGGUCUCAGUUCGGAUCGGUGUCUGCAACUCGACACCGUGAAGUUGGAGUCGCUAGUAAUCGCAGAUCAGCAACGCUGCGGUGAAUACGUUCUCGGGCCUUGUACACACCGCCCGUCACGUCAUGAAAGUCGGCAACACCCGAAGCC
rnacentral:rRNA from 1 species